rnacentral:rRNA from 1 species
AAAGACCUUAUGCUUUUGGAGCGGCCGAUGUCUGAUUAGCUAGUUGGUGAGGUAAAUGCUUACCAAGGCGACGAUCAGUAGUUGGUCUGAGAGGACGACCAGCCACACUGGGACUGAGACACGGCCCAGACUCCUGCGGGAGGCAGCAGUGGGGAAUUUUGGACAAUGGGCGCAAGCCUGAUCCAGCAAUGCCGUGUGAGUGAAGAAGGCCUUCGGGUUGUAAAGCUCUUUCAGUCGAGAAGAAAAGGUUGUGACUAAUACUCACAACCCAUGACGGUAUCGACAGAAGAAGCACCGGCUAACUACGUGCCAGCAGCCGCGGUAAUACGUAGGGUGCGAGCGUUAAUCGGAGUUACUGGGCGUAAAGCGUGCGAAGACGGUUAUUUAAGUCAGGUGUGAAAGCCCAAGGCUCAACCUUGGAAUU